rnacentral:snRNA from 1 species
GUGCUUCCUUCAGUAAUACAUAUAUUAAAAUUGGAAUGAUACAAGGAAGAUUAUCAUGGCUCCUGAACAAGGAUGACAUACAAAUUCAUACAGAGUUCCAUUUUUUU